rnacentral:rRNA from 1 species
UACAGAGGUCCCGAGCGUUGUUCGGAUUCACUGGGCGUAAAGGGUGCGUAGGUGGCGGACUAAGUCGGGUGUGAAAUCUCCGGGCUCAACCCGGAGGGUGCGCCCGAAACUGGAUCGCUGGAGGAUGGGAGGGGAGACUGGAAUUCUCGGUGUAGCAGUGAAAUGCGUAGAUAUCGAGAGGAACACCGGUGGCGAAGGCGAGUCUCUGGACCAUUCCUGACACUGAGGCACGAAAGCCGGGGGAG